ensembl:lncRNA
ACUCUUUAGUUUCUGGGUCACUGGGUAGAGAGAAGACUGCAGUCAGACACUGGGAUCUGUUGUGGUAGUGUGUGAUGUGAGGUGCUGGUGAUGGUGCAGGCUAACUUGGAUGUGGAGCUACAAGGAGUAUUGGUUAAGCUGUGUGUUUUAUGAGUCCCAUAGGGAGUUGAUUAGGUGAACUGAACUGCAGAUGUUUACCUAGGUACUGUCUGUCUGUGUAACAGUGUAACUGUUCUCCAGUCUUGUGAUGCCUGUGGCCAUGAAGACCGCCGGGAGAUCCAGGUCUGAUUCAGCCAACAAGGAAGGACAAGGCCGAGUUUGUACCCGGACUCAUCAUCAACAAUGGGCAUCAAGGGGCCCGAGGAGCCAAUCAGCAUGUUGUAGCUCUCCCUGGGGCUGGGCUGGGCUGGGUGUUGGAGCGAUAGGACAGAGGCCAACGCAGUCCAAGGAGAGCGUGUUGAACUACCAGGAAGCCCUGAGACAACAGAGGAACAGGAAACCAAUGACUCAGAUUAGUGACAGACUGCAAUAUUUUGACGGGAAGAGAUCAGGCGAGAGCGAAGUCAGCACUUUUCCAAGAUCCAGGAAAGAAAGGAGCGAUAAAGACAGGAGAGGAGGAAGAGGGAUUGCUACGAUGCCAAGAUCGAGGCAGAAAUGAAGGUGAUCUGAACAGAAUGCACAGGACCAAGGAGGAGGAGUACGUGAACCCAGAGUCCAGGGACAGGUGACAGCCACAGGGCUCUGUAGGCAGGAGUGGAGGACCUAACCCCAGGCAGGAGGACUGGGUACCCUCUACCCAGCGAGUAACAGCUGUCCCAGUUUGCCGGAGGCAACGUGUUCAGUGAUCAGGACACUCCACAGCAGCUCCAGGAGCAGGACACGUUCAAGCAGAGAGCCAGAAGGAUCCUUCCCCUCCUAACCCAGACAUGCAGAAGAGACUGGGCAAGCAGCUCCUUACUCCCAGACCUCUCUCUGCUGUCAGCCAGCUCUCCUCUAGGCCCAGGCACUUGACUGUGUCGAACAUCCACAGGCCCAGGCGCUAUAGCUUUAUUCUGACUCCGCUUUCAUCCCUGGAACUAUACACUCACUGUCGGUGUACGGUUGUGAACUUAACAUGCAUAUUUUAUAGUGGUGACUGUGGCGUGUUUUGAGGUGUUGGAUCAUGUUCCAUACUGUUGUGCUGUGCCCAGGUGUAGAGGGCACCCCAAUGGGGACAUGUUUGAGAUGGCACACCACCCAACUCUGGAGUAGCUGCUGUGGCUGUUCACGUCAACAUGCAGAACACCAGGGAGUUCAACCAGCUCAAAUACAGAGUGUUACGUCCUCAGACGUAUGCAGGGUCCCCGUCCCAAGGGCCAGGGCAGCCCAGGUUGACCUGAGGUCCAGACAGCCCUCAGCCCGGGAGAGGAGAAGGCCUGCCAGAAGGAGAGACUUUGAGGAUGAGAAGGGCCUGUUGCUUCAAUGUUUCCAUUCUGUGGCCCAGAACAUGGUGACUGCUGGUUGUCAGAGGGAUGACAAGGGCCAACCGGAUGCCUAGUCUCUGUUCUCUGUGACAAGCCUGCACGUGGAGGGGACCGCACGUACAGGCUUGUGAUAGAAUGACAAGGUUGGAUGGGGGCUGUCAGCCGAUGAAGGGGAUGACCUCUCACUGCGGUCCACCCCGUACUACCCGGUCAGGCGUGUGUCCAUGGAGACUGUUGGCACAGAGCGCUGGCUACGGCCCAGCACGUCAGACACGCUGAAAUUGUUUGGGGCUGGUCAGAACCGGACAGAAACCCGUUACCCACAUCCUGGAUGGGAAGUGGGAUGGGCCCUCCACCUAACAUGGAUGACCCCUUUCAUCUACACAUAGGAUCCCAUUCCCUUCACAGCUUAUUACUUUUGACUAGAGUUUGAGGUCUAUAUUUUAUAUGCAGUCGAUCCCCAAUACAAAUGACAAAAUUAACAUGGUCUAUUUCUGUGUCUGCAUCAGGAGAGCAAAAAACAUCCAUAUUUGUGUUUUUAUGCAGAAAAACACCUGAAUGUUGCUUAUGCAUGUGCGAAUUGUUUAAUCAGAAACCAGGGCAAACGUCAAAUGGAGAUGAGGUAGUAGCAGAGAUAUUUCAGUCUCUGUGUACAACAGCUCCACGUAGUGAGUAGGAUCAGGGCAGCGUCAGAGAGCGGGGAAAAUCUAAAUUGUAGACUUCUUGCGUCCUCUCUCUUUGCCUCCUUCAAAAGAGAAUGUUUGAGGGGCGGGACAUCUGGCUUUCUCAUCCAAUGGGUUUUGAGAAGGAGACAGGAUGUGAGGAGUGUGCAAUUGAGACGGUCCAAGUCUGCUUGGAUAAGUGUGCAGCUAGUACACAGUGAAGAAUUACUGUCCCUGAGCUGCAUCACUCUCACUGCUGUGUGAUAUGGCUACAGCUGCAGGACUACGGUAUGGAAGAAGUAUAGGCUCUGGUCUGCUGAUGGAAGUAACUAUGGUAACCUUUUGACUGGUUUGGUCUGCUGGUGUAAGCAACUAUGGUAACCUUUUGAAUGUACUUUUGCAGAAUUAAUAUGUAUUUAAAACAUGCGAAAUGUGUAUCUGGUGUUGAAAUGUUUGUAUGUAGCAAGAAAAUGUGUGUUAAUAUACAGUAUAGAAAGAUUUGGG